AGAAUAUUGCGUAGGCCUUUGCUUCGAAAGAAACACUUUACUGUUCGCAGCAAUCUCCUCCGCAAUAUUUU
rnacentral:pre_miRNA from 14 species